AUUAAAUUUGUUGUUUACAUUGAGCAGAUUUUAAAAAUAAAACUGUAUUUUUUCAGGGACUGAGCUUAAACCCUGCAGAUACUCAGUCUGGUCCAGGAUCCAGUCAGGACACGGCUGAUGCUGAUGAUGGUGUUUCCUACGUCUCCAUCAGUUUCACCAAGAAGUCCAAGAAUAAAUCCAGGUCCCGUGGUGAUCAUGAUGAUGAUGAUGGUGACACUGUGACCUACAGCACUGUGAAAGCUUCUUCCUCACCUGCUGGAAUUUCCCCUGAUCCCAACAACCUCUACUCCACCAUCAAUUAUCCAAAGAAAUAGGAUGUUUCUCAUGCUAAGUUUUUUUUAUCUAUCUAUCUAUCUAUCUAUCUAUCUAUCUAUC
ensembl:lncRNA